rnacentral:rRNA from 1 species
CCUACGGGAGGCAGCAGUAGGGAAUCUUCCACAAUGGGCGCAAGCCUGAUGCAGCAACGCCGCGUGAGUGAAGAAGGGUUUCGGCUCGUAAAGCUCUUUUGUUGGAGAAGAACGUGCGUGAGAGUAACUGUUCACGCAUUGACGGUAUCCAACCAGGAAGUCACGGCUAACUCCGUGCCAGCAGCCGCGGUAAUACGGAGGUGGCAAGCGUUAUCCGGAUUUAUUGGGCGUAAAGCGAGCGCAGGCGGUUGCUUAGGUCUGAUGUGAAAGCCUUGGGCUUAACCGGAGAAGUGCAUCGGAAACCGGGCGGCUUGAGUGCAGAAGAGGACAGUGGAACUCCAGGUGUAGCGGUGGAAUGCGUAGAUAUAUGGAAGAACACCAGUGGCGAAGGCGGCUGUCUGGACUGCAACUGACGCUGAGGCUCGAAAGCAUGGGUAGCGAACAGGAUUAGAUACCCCUGUAGUC